CUGGAGGGAGGAGGGUGAAGACAGAAAAACUACCUGUCGGGCAGAGUCUCAUUCCAUCACCCAGGCUGGAGUGCAGCGGCGUGAUCUUGGCAACCUCCACCUCCCAGGCUCAAGAAAUCCUCCCACCUCAGCCUCCCAAUAGCUGGAUCUACAGGCGUACACCACCACAAUCAGCUGUAUUUUUUGUAGAGACUGGGUUUCGCCAUGUUGCCCAGGGUGGUCAUGAACUUGUGAGCUCAAGUGAUCUGCCCGCCUCAGCCUCCCAAAGUGCUGGGAUUACAGGCAUGAGCCACCGCCCCUGGCCUAAUAAAAUUUAUUUUUAAAAAAGGACCUAUGGCGAAUCAUUUUUACAAAUAAAAUCUAUAGUCAAGGUGCAGUAUGGGAACAGCAUUUUACUGAGUAAUCUUGCAAAGAAUAUGUCAUUAACCACUACACUAAUCUUGUUCUUGAUGUACACCAGCAACAAAUACAAAGAAAAAUUUAGUCUCUUACUUUAACAGGUUCCAAGUAUGCCACAUCGUAUUUUUUGCCAAAUAAUUUAUUAGUAAGAGGAGAUGACUCUAGUAAGUUAUAGAAGUUAUAUUGAAUUUUUAAAAAAAAUUUUUCAAAACUAUUCUGUGGGGAUUGAGGACAGAUGAACUACAAAGGAACAUGAUGGAACUUUCUGGGGUGAGCAUAAUGUUCUAUAUGAUGAUAGGGGCUUGGGUUACAUAAGUGAGCAUUUAUGAAAACUGUACACUUUUUGUGCAUUUCAUUGUGUAUAAAGUUUACUUCAAAAAAAACAUUGAACUCCAAUUAAUUACAUGCAUGCUGAACUAUUUAGAGUGAAGUAUACUGAUGCCUGUUGUUUACUUUGAAGUAUUUCAAAACAGUAAAAUGGAUAGAGGAAUGUGUAAUAAAUUGGUACACGAUAAGGAAAAUAUAGUCAAUUAUGUUAAUAGUAAAAUCUAGAUGGUGAGUAAACUGGUGUCCAUUGUAAAAUUCUUUAAAC
rnacentral:lncRNA from 1 species